rfam:Oryza glumipatula chromosome 8, whole genome shotgun sequence.
AAAAAAGCAAAUCAUGAGUUUUUGUGUCCAACUUUGACUGUCCGUCUUAUAUGAAAUUUUUUUAUAAUUCGUAUUUUCAUUGUUGUUAGAUGAUAAAACAUGAUUAAUAUUUUAUGCAUGACUUGUCUUUUUAAUUUUUUUUUAUAAUUUUUUCAAAUAAGACGGACGGUCAAAUAUUGGGCACGGAAAUCAGGGUUUGUCUUUUU